rnacentral:rRNA from 1 species
GAUGAACGCUGGCGGCGUGCUUAACACAUGCAAGUCGAACGGAAAGGCCCAAGCUUGCUUGGGUACUCGAGUGGCGAACGGGUGAGUAACACGUGGGUGAUCUGCCCUGCACUUCGGGAUAAGCCUGGGAAACUGGGUCUAAUACCGGAUAGGACCACAUUUUGGAUGGUGUGGUGGAAAGUUUUUCGGUGUGGGAUGAGCUCGCGGCCUAUCAGCUUGUUGGUGGGGUAAUGGCCUACCAAGGCGUCGACGGGUAGCCGGCCUGAGAGGGUGUACGGCCACAUUGGGACUGAGAUACGGCCCAGAAUCCUACGGGAGGCAGCAGUGGGGAAUAUUGCACAAUGGGCGCAAGCCUGAUGCAGCGACGCCGCGUGGGGGAUGACGGCCUUCGGGUUGUAAACUCCUAUCGCUAGGGACGAAGCGUUUUUGUGACGGUACCUGGAGAAGAAGCACCGGCUAACUACGUG